rnacentral:rRNA from 1 species
CUACGUGCCAGCAGCCGCGGUAAUACGGAAGGUCCGGGCGUUAUCCGGAAUUAUUGGGUUUAAAGGGAGCGCAGGCGGGAGUGUAAGUCAGCUGUUAAAUAUCAGAGCCCAACUCUGUUAUGCAGUUGAAACUAUAUUUCUUGAGUACGCACAGGGAUGGCGGAAUUCAGGGUGUAGCGGUGAAAUGCUUAGAUAUCCUGAAGAACUCCGAUCGCGAAGGCAGCCAUCCGGAGCGUAACUGACGCUGAGGCUCGAAGGUGCGGGUAUCGAACAGGAUUAGAUACCCUGGUAGUCCGCACGGUAAACGAUGAAUACUCGCAGUUCGGCCUUUAUGGUCGAGUUGUCCAGCGAAAGCGUUAAGUAUUCCACCUGGGGAGUACGCCGGCAACGGUGAAACUCAAAGGAAUUGACGGGGGCCCGCACAAGCGGAGGAACAUGUGGUUUAAUUCGAUGAUACGCGAGGAACCUUACCCGGGCUUGAAC